GAUGAACGCUAGCGGCAGGCUUAAUACAUGCAAGUCGUGGGGCAGCAGGGGUGUAGCAAUACACUCGCUGGCGACCGGCAAACGGUUGUGGAACACGUACACAACCUUCCUUUAAGUGGGGAAUAGCCCGGGGAAACACGAAUUAACACCCCGUAACAUAGUGAAAAGGCAUCUUUUUAUGAUUAUAGCAGCAAUUCGCUUGAUGAUGGGUGUGCGCCUGAUUAGGCAGUUGGCGGGGUAACGGCCCACCAAACCUACGAUCAGUCACGGGUGUGGGAGCACCAGCGGUCACACGGGCACUGAGACACGGGGCGGACACCUACGGGAGGCAGGAGGAAGGAAUACUGGUCAAUGCACGGAAGUCUGAACCGGCCAUGCCGCGUGGAGGAGGACGGUCCUCUGGAUUGUAAACUUCUUUUAUCUGGGAAGAAAUCGAUGAAUUCUUUGGUGGUUGACGGUACCAGAUGAAUAAGCACCGGCUAAGUCCGAGCCAGCCGCCGCGGUAAGAC
rnacentral:rRNA from 1 species